rfam:Salmo salar isolate Sally breed double haploid chromosome ssa16, whole genome shotgun sequence.
CGUAUGCACACAUGACUAAGUGGCUUUGGAUAAAAGCAUCUGCUAAAUGGCAUAUA